GAUGAAGAACGCAGCGAAAUGCGAUAAGUAGUGUGAAUUGCAGAAUUCAGUGAAUCAUCGAAUCUUUGAACGCACAUUGCGCCCCUUGGUAUUCCAUGGGGCAUGCCUGUUCGAGCGUCAUUUGUACCUUCAAGCUUUGCUUGGUGUUGGGUGUUUGUCCCGAGGGACUCGCCUUAAAGUAAUUGGCAGCCAGUGUUUGGUUUUGAAGCGCAGCACAAGUCGCGAAUCAAGGCUACACGCCCGCUUCCACAAGCCUUUUUUCACUUUUGACCUCGGAUCAGGUAGGGAUACCCGCUGAACUUAAGCAUAUCAAUAAGCGGAGGA
rnacentral:misc_RNA from 1 species